rnacentral:lncRNA from 1 species
CUUGGAGACCAUUGAAGAUCAAGAGCAAGAGCAAGAGGGGAGCAUCAGAUUUGCUAACAACAGAUUCUAUUCUCUUCUCUCAUCUUAUUUUUAUCUUUUGAUGUCUAUUCAGUUGUGGAUUCUUGGUUUUAAUUCAUUAAUUAUGAACUAACUAUUUUUGAGAUUUCAAUUGAACUUUUUAUGGCUAUGAAUUAGUUAUUCAUUAUAUUCUAAUUAUUUAUGUAAAAGUGAGUUGUUUAUCUUGUCUUGUGCUUAUUGCUUAAUUAUUUGAUCAGUAAUUACUUUGUUACUCUAGAAGGAAUUGGAAGAGGAAUUCUAGGGUUAGAACUGGGCAUGAUAUCAUGUGACUUAGUUAUUUGCACAGUGAAUAAUUAGGUUUGUGAAUAGAAUGGAAAUACCUUUUCGCCGCAUGUAAC